AUUGAACGCUGGCGGCAGGCCUAACACAUGCAAGUCGAGCGGCAGCGGGAAAGUAGCUUGCUACUUUUGCCGGCGAGCGGCGGACGGGUGAGUAAUGCCUGGGAAAUUGCCCAGUCGAGGGGGAUAACAGUUGGAAACGACUGCUAAUACCGCAUACGCCCUACGGGGGAAAGCAGGGGACCUUCGGGCCUUGCGCGAUUGGAUAUGCCCAGGUGGGAUUAGCUAGUUGGUGAGGUAAUGGCUCACCAAGGCGACGAUCCCUAGCUGGUCUGAGAGGAUGAUCGGCCACACUGGAACUGAGACACGGUCCAGACUCCUACGGGAGGCAGCAGUGGGGAAUAUUGCACAAUGGGGGAAACCCUGAUGCAGCCAUGCCGCGUGUGUGAAGAAGGCCUUCGGGUUGUAAAGCACUUUCAGCGAGGAGGAAAGGUUGAUGCCUAAUACGUAUCAACUGUGACGUUACUCGCAGAAGAAGCACCGGCUAACUCCGUGCCAGCAGCCGCCGUAA
rnacentral:rRNA from 1 species